rnacentral:rRNA from 1 species
CCUACGGGAGGCAGCAGUGAGGAAUAUUGGGCAAUGCCCGCAAGGGUGACCCAGCAACGCCGCGUGGAGGAUGAAGGCCGUAAGGUUGUAAAGCUCUUUCGGCAGGAAAGAAAUCGCCCGCUCUAACAUAGCGGGUGGAUGACGGUACCUGAAGAAGAAGCACCGGCUAACUACGUGCCAGCAGCCGCGGUAAU